UAAUACGUAGGGGGCAAGCGUUGUCCGGAUUUAUUGGGCGUAAAGAGCGUGUAGGCGGCCACACAGGUCAGCUGUGAAAACUCGAGGCUCAACCUCGAGACGUCGGUUGAAACCGUAUGGCUAGAGUCCGGAAGAGGAGAGUGGAAUUCCCGGUGUAGCGGUGAAAUGCGCAGAUAUCGGGAAGAACACCUAUGGCGAAGGCAGCUCUCUGGGACGGUACUGACGCUGAGACGCGAAAGCGUGGGGAGCGAACAGGAUUAGAUACCCUGGUAGUCCACGCCGUAAACGAUGGGCACUAGGUGUGGCGGGUGUCGACUCCCGCUGUGCCGAAGCUAACGCAUUAAGUGCCCCGCCUGGGGAGUACGGCCGCAAGGCUA
rnacentral:rRNA from 1 species